UCUGUCGGCUGUGCUCCUCGGUGCUGGGCUUAGAGGAGUAGAAGACGGGAAAGCCAGCUGCCGCCUGCUGGAAGCUGGAGUCUGCAGUACUGCGGUUCGGAGGUUCACUGUGGUUGGCGGUAGCCACUGACGCAUGCCCCUGGAGCGACUUUACCUUGUGGGUUCACAAGGGAGACUACUGUUGCUAAACCCUGCUGAGCGUCAUUUCUGGUGGGCAGAGUUGACAAGCCACCUGCUUCUUCACUACCCUGACUCAUCUCUGCAGAGCAGACACACCUCACUUUUUGGGCAUCACUGAAGAAUGUUCUGACUUUACCUUUUGGGUUCAGAGGGGAGACUGCUGUUGCUAAGCCCUGCUGAGCAUCAUUUCUGGUGUGGCAGAGUUGACAAGCCACCUGCUUCUUGACUACUCCUGACUCAUCUCUGCAGAGCAGACACACCUCACUUCUUGGACAUCACUGAAGAAUGUUCUGAUUCCUAACCUGAAAAUCUGAAAUCCAUAGUGCUCCAAAAUCUGAAACCUUUUGAGCAACAACAUGACAUCACGUGUAAGAAAUUCCACUUGUGAGUACUUAACACAAACUUUGUUUCAUGAGCAAAAUUACUUACAAUAGUUUGUAGAAUUAACUUCAGGCUGUAUAUAUAAGAUAUAUAUAAAGCAUAACAGAAUUUUACAUUUAGUUUGGGGUUCCAUUCCCAAGAUAGCUCAUGUAUAUGUAAAUAUUCCCAAAUCUGAAAAAAUCAGAAAUCCAAAACACUUCUUGGCCCAAGCGUUUUGGAUAAGGAUACUCAACCUGUCAGUUGAAAAUAAAAUAUUUUUCUUUGAUAGUUUUACAUGCCACAAAUUUUUCUGACUCCAAACAAGCCCAUGUAACUAUUGCUUCACAGAUGUGUGAUUUGAAGCUUAGCAGAAAACCUGUCUCCCACUUUUUCCAUAUUGUUUUCUAGGUAUAAUGCAGAUAACUUGUAAAAUAACAUUCUAGGGUGUAAUAUAUAAAUCCUGCCUAAACAAAAGCAAAAGGCGCAGGAAAUAACAAUAGGUAUAACUUCUAACUGGCUAACUCAUGCUUCUCUCCAAGGGAAAAGCCAAAAAUGUGCCCCUGAGGUGGAUGGCUGGUUAGUGAAUUAUGGGUAAGACUCUGUGGAAGACCAAGAGCAACCUAAGACAGGCACAGCUGUAGGGCAGCGACCAAUAGCUAAAUUUAUACAAAAAGCCAGCCUGCUCCCACGAAGGAAUCGAGAAGCACUACAAGCAGAUGCAGCAGCAGCGUCAUUGACAGGAAAGUACGUUGCAGGGAGGCCAGCAAAGGCUAAAUUCAUACUGGGAGCAGAUGUACUAGCAGUGUAAUUGACAGACAAUCAAGUUGCCUGUAUGCCUCCCAGGUGGAUGGCUGGUUAGCCAAUGACAGAUAAGACUCUGAGGGAUGAGAGCAACCUAAGACAGGCACAACCACGGGGAUGCCAGCCAAGGCUAAAUUCAUACCGGGAGCAGAUGAACCAGCAGCGUACUUGACAGGCAGACAAGUUGCCUGUGUGCCCCCCAGGUGGAUGGCUGGUUAGCCAAUGACGGGUAAGACUCUGAGAGACUAGAGCAACCUAAGACAGGCACAGCCACGGGGAGGCCAGCAAAGGCUAAAUUCAUUCUGGGAGCAGAUGCACCAGCUGCGUACUUGACAGGCAGACAAGUAAGUUGCCUGUGUGCCCCCCAGGUGGAUGGCUGGGGAGCCAAUGACGGGUAAGACUCUCUGAGAGAUGAGAGCAACCUAAGACAGACACAGCCGCAGGGAGGCCAGCAAAGGCUAAAUUCAUACCGGAAGCAGAUGCACCAGCAGCGUACUUGACAGGCAGACAAGUUGCCUGUGUGUUCCCCAGGUGGAUGGCGGGUUAGCCAAUGACGGGUAAGACUCUGAGAGAUUAGAGCAACCUAAGACAGGCACAGCCACGGGGAUGCCAGCCAAGGCUAAAUUCAUAUCAGGAGCAGAUGCACCAGCAGCAUACUUGACAGGCAGACAAGCUGCCUGUGUGCCCCCCAGGUGGAUGGCUGGUUAGCCAAUGACGGGUAAGACUCUGUGAAGGACGAGAGCAACCUAAGACAGGCACAGCCGCGGGGAGGCCAGCAAAGGCUAAAUUCAUACCGGGAGCAGAUGCACCAGCAGCGUACUUGACAGGCAGACAAGUAAGUUGCAUGUGUGCCCCCCAGGUGGAUGGCUGGUUAGCCAAUGACGGGUAAGACUCUCUGAGAGCUGAGAGCAACCUACGACAGGCACAGCCACGGGGAUGCCAGCCAAGGCGAAAUUGAUACUGAGAGGAGAUGCACCAGCAGCGUACUUGACAGGCAGACAAGUAAGUUGCCUGUGUGCCCCCCAGGUGGAUGGCUGGGUAGCCAAUGACGGGUAAGACUCUCUGAGAGAUUAGAGCAACCUAAGACAGGCACAGCCGCAGGGAGGCCAGCAAAGGCUAAAUUCAUUCUGGGAGCAGAUGCACCAGCAGCGUACUUGACAGGCAGACAAGUUGCCUGUGUGUUCCCCAGGUGGAUGGCUGGUUAGCCAAUGACGGGUAAGACUCUGAGAGAUUAGAGCAACCUAAGACAGGCACAGCCACGGGGAUGCCAGCCAAGGCUAAAUUCAUUCUGGGAGCAGAUGCACCAGCAGCGUACUUGACAGGCAGACAAGUAAGUUGCCUGUGUGCCCCCCAGGUGGAUGGCUGGUUAGCCAAUGACGGGUAAGACUCUGAGAGAUUAGAGCAACCUAAGACAGGCACAGCCACGGGGAUGCCAGCCAAGGCUAAAUUCAUACCAGGAGCAGAUGCACCAGCAGCAUACUUGACAGGCAGAAAAGUUCCCUGUGUGCGCCCCAGGUGGAUGGCUGGUUACCAAUGACGGGUAAGACUCUCUGAAGGACGAGAGCAACCUAAGACAGGCACAGCCGCGGGGAGGCCAGCGAAGGCUAAAUUCAUUCUGGGAGCAGAUGCACCAGCAGCGCACUUGACAGGCAGACAAGUAAUUUGCCUGUGUGCCCCCCAGGUGGAUGGCUGGUUAGCCAAUGACGGGUAAGACUCUCUGAGAGAUUAGAGCAACCUAAGACAGGCACAGCCGCAGGGAGGCCAGCAAAGGCUAAAUUCAUACCGGGAGCAGAUGCACCAGCAACGUACUUGACAGGGCAGACAAGUUGCCUGUGUGUUCCCCAGGUGGAUGGCUGGUUAGCCAAUGACGGGUAAGACUCUGAGAGAUUAGAGCAACCUAAGACAGGCACAGCCACGGGGAUGCCAGCCAAGGCUAAAUUCAUACCAGGAGCAGAUGCACCAGCAGCAUACUUGACAGGCAGAAAAGUUCCCUGUGUGCCCCCCAGGUGGAUGGCUGGUUACCAAUGACGGGUAAGACUCUGUGAAGGACGAGAGCAACCUAAGACAGGCACAGCCGCGGGGAGGCCAGCAAAGGCUAAAUUCAUUCUGGGAGCAGAUGCACCAGCAGUGUACUUGACAGGCAGACAAGUAAGUUGCCUGUGUGCCCCCAGGUGGAUGGCUGGUUAGCCAAUGACGGGUAAGACUCUCUGAGAGAUUAGAGCAACCUAAGACAGGCACAGCCGCAGGGAGGCCAGCAAAGGCUAAAUUCAUACUGGGAGCAGAUGUACCAGCAGCGUACUUGACAGGCAGACAAGCUGCCUGUGUGCCCCCCUGGUGGAUGGCUGGUUAGCCAAUGACGGGUAAGACUCUCUGAAGGACGAGAGCAACCUAAGACAGGCACAGCCGCGGGGAGGCCAGCAAAGGCUAAAUUCAUUCUGGGAGCAGAUGCACCAGCAGCGUACUUGACAGGCAGA